GGAGAGGUGGCAGAGCGGUUGAAUGCGGCGGUCUCGAAAACCGUUGUGCUCGUAAGAGUACCCAGGGUUCGAAUCCCUGCCUCUCCGCCA
rnacentral:tRNA from 1 species